GCGGCAAGGGGGGAAGAAGCUGAGGAGAAACCUUGAACGAGGGGCUAGUAGGGAGCUUUGAGGGAGGGGUACUGAGAGGUGGGCCUUGGCAGGAGGUUCCUUGGGAGCAUUGGGGGAGGGCCCCCAAGCAGAUGGCAGGGGGCUCCCAGGGAGCAUGGUGGGGAUCCCCAAAGAGCCCAGAGGGGAUUGCAUCAGGAGAGUCAGGGCCCUGAGCAUUUCCUCAGCCCUUUCUCCCCCCACACAGCCUUAGCGCAAGAUGGGGCAAUGGUGAAGCGUUAACUUCUGUGGCCUGCAGGGUCCGAGUCCCUGGUCCCCUUCUCAGCGGGAUACCCAGGAACGGUGCAGUGCAGAGCACCCUGAGCGUCUGCUGCACUGGGCGCAUUGACAGGACUCCUGAGUCUGCGGCCGCGGACACAGAGCGGGGCAGCAUGGCUGAGAGCCAGACACGAUGAAUGCGCCAGCCAGCAAAGUCAACUUGCAGAUAAACCCUCAAUCCAGAUUUUCUUGGGUGCAUUCUUAGAACCCUGUCAUAUCAGGGUCCAGCAUGGCAUAAAUUCAUCCAAUUAUAUUUUGGCUCCUGGCUGCAGCUCUGUUGGGUGAUCAUAGUCCCAGGGCACAGGCUCCACCAGAAUGGUCAUGUCUGUGCUGCCUCAUUCCAGUUUGUUACCAGCCAUGAAGCAAUGGAAUAGGAAGCAGGAAGAGCUGCUGUUGGAACCAAGAGACUUUUGCUGCACCAGCUGCAAGUGGAGGGCACACUACACACCUGGGACAUCGUCCCGUACCCGAAGGCUCCGCAGGCAUGCACAUCGUCUGGAGGAGUAUCAGCAGCAGCACCUGUGAGCACUGCGAGCCCUGCACUUCACCCUUGACCACUGGCUGGAGGAAGACCUGCAGUUCCAGCAGGAGAGUUGGCGGGAGUAGCUUGCCCAGGGCCAUGCCAUCUGUGCCCGUCUGCAGACCCUGGUGCAGAGCAUGUGUCCUCCUCUCACUCCAGCCUCUGCUGCCUCCCCAGCGAUCGCUCCUCCUCACACCCUUCUCCCCCUCCCCUUCUCCCUUCACACACCCCUGGGGACGCUGAGGCCCCCGCAUCCGCAGUACUGGGAGCCAGUGGGCACGGCGCCACUCCGACCCUGAACCUCUCCUCCUCCUUCCUCCCCCUUCCAGCUCCCUCCUCCCAGGUUUCCCCUUCCCCUCUCUCUUCCUCUCUCCUCCCCUCUCCUGCCUUCUUUCCUCAGUCUCACCUGAGUUUCCUUUCCCUUC